GGUAGGUGGUCAACUGAACUGGCCUGGCUUCCAGUGUUGCUUGCAGCCCUGAACACCCUUCUCCUUGGACCUUCUAGGCCCUUCCUUUGUCUUCCUUUCCCAUCCUGCAUCCUUUAUCGACAGGACCUCUGCACCCAGUGCAGGUUGCUCUCAUUCCAAUCCCUUUUCACAGUCUGUUUUCUAGAUGAAACCCUGGGCCUUCCUCCUUGACACAGCUAAGAGCACAGACUGUGGAGUCAGAUCUAUCCAGCACUGCUACUUAGAAGCUGUGUGACCUUAGGACAAUUACUCAACCUCUCUGUGUCACAGAUUCUACAGCACAAAACCAGUAAUAGCACUCACUUCACAGGGCUGCAAGGAGAAUUAAACAAGCACAAGAACAAGGACAGAGUGUGGGUGCUCACCACUAGCUCGCCUAGCAUUUGCCACAGUCAGAGACCUUCAGUGAAUACAGUGUUACCCCACAAAUGACUUAGGGAUUACCAAGGGGAAACGAGGUCACCACCUUAUCCGUGGUCCAAACUUCUCAUCAGUAGGGAACCAACUAAUCCUCUGAUGUGAUGCAACGAGAAGGGACACCUCCCCCAUGAGGUACUCCUGCCAAAACAUUUAACCUGAAUCUAAUAAUAAGGGCGCCAUCAGACAAAUCCAAGCUGGGCGACAUUCUGCCAAAGAGCUAAGCUGGGUUCUUCAAAAAUGUCAAUGUCAGGAGAAAGAAAACCAAACGAAACCUU